UACGUAGGAGACGAGCGUUGUCCGGAAUUACUGGGCGUAAAGCGCGUGUAGGCGGAUGGGUGCGUCGGCUUCUGAAAGCCCCCGGCUCAACCGGGGAAGUGGGGCCGAAACGACCCGUCUGGAGGGACGUAGGGGAUCUGGAACUUCCGGUGGAGCGGUGAAAUGCGUUGAGAUCGGAAGGAACGCCCGUGGCGAAAGCGAGAUCCUGGACGUCUUCUGACGCUGAGACGCGAAAGCUAGGGAGCAAACGGG
rnacentral:rRNA from 1 species